UGGGGAAUUUUGGACAAUGGGGGAAACCCUGAUCCAGCCAUCCCGCGUGUGCGAUGAAGGCCUUCGGGUUGUAAAGCACUUUUGGCAGGAAAGAAACGUCAUGGGUUAAUACCCCGUGAAACUGACGGUACCUGCAGAAUAAGCACCGGCUAACUACGUGCCAGCAGCCGCGGUAAUACGUAGGGUGCAAGCGUUAAUCGGAAUUACUGGGCGUAAAGCGUGCGCGGGCGGUUCGGAAAGAAAGAUGUGAAAUCCCAGAGCUCAACUUUGGAACUGCAUUUUUAACUACCGGGCUAGAGUGUGUCAGAGGGAGGUGGAAUUCCGCGUGUAGCAGUGAAAUGCGUAGAUAUGCGGAGGAACACCGAUGGCGAAGGCAGCCUCCUGGGAUAACACGGACGCUCAUGCACGAAAGCGUGGGGAGCAAACAGG
rnacentral:rRNA from 1 species